AUUGAACGCUGGCGGCAUGCCUUACACAUGCAAGUCGAACGGCAGCACGGAGCUUGCUCUGGUGGCGAGUGGCGAACGGGUGAGUAAUAUAUCGGAACGUACCCAAGAGUGGGGGAUAACGUAGCGAAAGUUACGCUAAUACCGCAUACGAUCUAAGAAUGAAAGUGGGGGCUCGCAAGACCGCAUGCUCCUGGAGCGGCCGAUAUCUGAUUAGCUAGUUGGUGAGGUAAAGGCUCACCAAGGCGUCGAUCAGUAGCUGGUCUGAGAGGACGACCAGCCACACUGGAACUGAGACACGGUCCAGACUCCUACGGGAGGCAGCAGUGGGGAAUUUUGGACAAUGGGGGCAACCCUGAUCCAGCAAUGCCGCGUGAGUGAAGAAGGCCUUCGGGUUGUAAAGCUCUUUUGUCAGGGAAGAAACGGUGAAGGCUAAUAUCCUUUGCAAAUGACGGUACCUGAAGAAUAAGCACCGGCUAACUACGUGCCAGCAGCCGCAGUAAUAC
rnacentral:rRNA from 1 species